UCCUCCAUAGUUCAGUUGGUAGAACAGCGGACUGUUAAUCCGUAUGUCACUGGUUCGAAUCCAGUUGGGGGAG
rnacentral:tRNA from 1 species